UCGGGUUGUAAAGCACUUUUGUCCGGAAAGAAAACUUCGUCCCUAAUAUGGAUGGAGGAUGACGGUACCGGAAGAAUAAGCACCGGCUAACUACGUGCCAGCAGCCGCGGUAAUACGUAGGGUGCGAGCGUUAAUCGGAAUUACUGGGCGUAAAGCGUGCGCAGGCGGGUUUGCUAAGACCGAUGUGAAAUCCCCGGGCUUAACCUGGGAACUGCAUUGGUGACUGGCAGGCUAGAGUAUGGCAGAGGGGGGGUAGAAUUUCCACGUGUAGCAGUGAAAUGCGUAGAGAUGUGGAGGAAUACCGAUGGCGAAGGCAGCCCCUGGGCCAAUACUGACGCUCAUGCACGAAAGCGUGGGGAGCAAACAGGAUUAGAUACCCUGGUAGUCCACGCCCUAAACGAUGUCAACUAGUUGUUGGGGAUUCAUUUCCUUAGUAACGUAGCUAACGCGUGAAGUUGACCGCCUGGGGAGUACGGUCGCAAGAUUAAAACUCAAAGGAAUUGACGGGGACCCGCACAAGCGGUGGAUGAUGUGGAUUAAUUCGAUGCAACGCGAAAAACCUUACCUACCCUUGACAUGGACGGAAGGCCGCUG
rnacentral:rRNA from 1 species